rnacentral:tRNA from 1 species
GUACCUGUAGUCUAAUGGAUAGAACGUCGGCCUCCGGAGCCGGAAAUGCUGGUUCAACUCCAGCCAGGUACA